CGCCCCGGGGCUCGGCCAGCCGGGAGGGAAGGGCUGCGGGCAGGGCAGGAGGUGAGCCCCGCUCUCCGCACCCGCGCACACCCCUGCGCAUCCCUGCGCGCCCGCCCGGCCCCGCGCACGCAUCUGCGCGGGUCUCCGCGGAACUGCCCGGGGCAUCCCGCAGCCCCCCGCUCUGCGCGGAACGCGGACUCCCCUCCCGCACCCCGCGGUGGCUCGGCCGGGAGAGACUUAACUGGAACCGCGGCUCGGGAGCGAAAAGUUCAGGGGCAGAGCCGCGGGCGCGGGCGGGAGGUGCCGGGCGCUCCGCGGGGUCCCGCCGCCCCGGCGCCGCUCUGCGCGGGCAGGGGCGCAGCCUCCGCGCCCGCGGACGCGCACCAUCUUCCCCCGGCUGCCGAGCUCUCCUCCAGCGGUGCAAUAUGGACGCACCGCUCCCUCCUAAUUAAAUUGCUGCAUCAUUCAUUUUCUGACGCGGGAGCGGCAUGGGGUACGGCGGGCUCCGUGCGCUGACACCCCCCGUUCGGAAUGGGGGGAGGCGGGGAAUAAAGGGCCAAAGGGGGAAUCACAACAGUUUGUUCUUGCAACAAGCUCGCACGGAGGGGCUUGGCAGCAACUCAGCAAAGCGACCUGAGGGAGCAAACCCCGCUGGGUUUGGGGGGCAGCCCCCCUUCCCCAUGGAUGCCGCCCCUGGAGCAGGGUCGCGGUGCGCGGGGGCAGGGAGCCUUGACCUGCAACUUUCCCAAAGGCCCCCGAAUAUCGCUCGUUUUCCCUGCCGGGGCUCCGGCCGUCGCGUUGUGCAGAGGGGCUGGCAGAGGGCAGGGAUGGCCCUGGGAUGCGGAGCAGGGAGCGCUGCGGGGAUGCACGCACAUCCCGCCGCGUUGCCCCGCAGGCAGGGACACACGGACACCCCUGUGCCCCCUGCCCGCCUGGGACACGGGACAGCCCCGCGGGAUGCCCCGGGGGAGGAGGAGGGAGGGGAUGGCCCCGCACCUCCCUUUCCAUCCUUUGUGCCCCCGCAGUUUCCCAGAGGGCUGAGGAGACUCAAAUCCACACAGAGAGGCGCCUCUCCCAGGGUUUGUCCGGGCCAUGUCCCCUUGUCCCCUGAGCCAGGAGGCAGAAGUCACCUCGGGCCAUCGCCUUCAUCUUCCUCCAGCCACAGCAGCUCCCGGCCCUCGUGUCUCUGCUCGGACAGUUGUGCUAUUUUCUGA
rnacentral:lncRNA from 1 species